rnacentral:lncRNA from 1 species
CAUUCACUAAUCGAGUUAUCUAGUGCCUCUCAUCGAAAGAUCAGGCGAAAACCCUAGUGGGUUCACAUCAGUUGGUAAUCAGAGCAAGGUUUAUCGGUGAGAGAUUUCCAAUUCUUCGUGUUUGUUUUUCCUGUAGUCCAAAAAAAGCCAAAAAAUAUAGCAGAUUUGUUUUCCAUAAUCCUAUAAAUCCUUUGUGCCAUGGCUAGUACUACAUAGUUAGGGCUGGUUGAAUGAGUGUUUGCUUCGGUCGUGUCCAGUGCUGGUUUUAGUUUAGUCCUUUAGAGUUUUGAGUUCUUGUCACCAUCUAGUCACAACUGCGUCCAAUCUAUUGUGGGUUGGAAUUUGAGUAGAUCUUGAUAAUAGGUGCAGCCACUUGUUGGUCUAUUCUGCGUUUCCAUCAACGUGAUCCAAAAGGAAAGAUAGCACUUCAUACUUGUGCUAGAUAUAUUGAAUUUUGAGGUGCUCUAGUGAGAGGGUGAGAGUGGUGAAGUGAUAUUUUGUACUAUUUUGUUUAUAUAAUCAGGUUUUGAGGUUCCCCAAAAAAAGAAAAGAGAAAGAAAAAAAAAUAAAGAAAAAAAAAGAAAGAAAGAAAGAAAAAAGAAAAAAAAUCAAAAAAGGGGAUUGUUGUUCCUUUUGUUUCCAGUAGGGCUGCUCAUUUUGUUUCUAGUGGUGUGCUGUGUUUUUCCUUUGUGUCCAGGCUCGCGUCUCUAGCACGGUCUAGGCUAGGACCAGCACAGUACCACCGUUGAGCGUUUAUUCAGCUCGCUUUUAUAACUAACGUGGUGCUAGUUCGUUCCUUGUUUUAGCCCACCUAUAUCUCCACAUACUCUACAGCUUGACAGGUCUUGUGCUGCAACACCGAUACACUUCGUCCAUUGCUGUCCACUUGUUGGCAGACGACCCCUCCUAUCAAGCAAGGUAAGAAUUGGUAAGAACUUGUGUUACAGGUUGAGUGUGAGCGACUUGCUGUAGCUACAUCCUAGUAGUUGUAGGGGUUUUAUUUCUUCACUUGCCUUUUUGUUGUCUUUGUCUUUGAACCAUGACAGGGGCAGAUGAUGGUAACGAAACACCACAUACACCUCGCACUAAGGGCAUCAUACAACAUUUUGAAAGGAAAGUGAAGCUGCACACAGAGGGACUUGAUAACGACUUGCAGGUGACAAAUGAAAAGCUGGGGCAGUUGGAGGCUACGCAGAUUGCCACAAACAACAAGCUCACAAGUUUGGAGGAAUCCGUUGCUAGUGUGGACAAAAGCCUUGCUGCUCUCCUAAGGCGAUUUGAUGAUUUCCACACCAAAGAUAAAGAGAAGCAUAAAGAAGAAAAGGAGGGAGAUCGAGAGCACGGUAGUCAUGAAGAUGACUACACUGGUGAUACUGAACAUGAUGAUCAAGACACUCGUGAUCGACGUCGCCUUCGUCACAACCGUAGAGGUAUGGUUAGCCACCACUGACGCGAGGUACACAAUAAUAAUGAUGCUUUCAGUAAGAUUAAAUUUAAAAUACCUCCUUUUGAUGGUAAAUAUGACCCUGAUGCAUACAUUACUUGGGAGAUUGCUGUUGACCAAAAGUUUACAUGUCAUGAAUUCCCUGAGGAUACACGUGUUUGGGCUGCUACUAGUGAGUUCACCUAUUUUGCUUCCGUUUGGUGGAUAGAACAUGGCAAGAAAAAUCCUAAUAACAUACCUAGAACUUGGAAUGCGUUGAAACAAGUCAUGAGGGCUAGAUUUGUUCCUUCUUACUAUGCACGUGACAUGAUUAAUAAGUUGCAGCAAUUGAGACAAGGUGCUAAAAGUGUAGAAGAAUAUUAUCAGGAAUUACAAAUGUGUAUGCUGCGAUGUAAUUUAGAGGAGGAAGAAGAACCUGCUAUGGCUAGAUUUUUGGGGGGUUAAAUCGUGAAAUCCAGGACAUUCUUGCUUAUAAAGAUUAUACUAACGUAACCCGUUUGUUUCAUCUUGCUUGUAAAGCUGAAAGGGAAGUGCAGGGACGACGUUCUAGUGCCAAAUCUAACAAUUCUGCAGGGAAAUCCUGGCAACAACGCACAUCUGCUACAUUGUCGGGUGGUGUACCUCUUCCAUCAAGCCGAUCAAUAGCUCCACCACCUUCCUACAGCGACAAACCACAUGAUUCUUCCACAAAUACAGCAACUAAAUCAGCCCAAAGACCAAUCGCUAGUGCCUCCUCAGUUAAUUCCACGGGAAGAACAAGAGAUGUUCAGUGUCAUCGAUGCAAGGGCUAUGGGCACGUACAACGAGAUUGUCCAAUCAAGCGUGUUUUGGUGGUUAACGCUGAUGGUGGGUAUUCCUUUGCUAGUGAUUUUGAUGACGAUACACGUGCUUUGCUUGCUGCUGAUGAUACAGGUAGGGAUGAAGCAAUAGAAGAGCAGAUAGAUGCAGAGAAUGUAGAGCAUUAUGAGAGUCUUAUUGUGCAGCGUGUGCUUAGUGCUCAAGCGGAGAAGGUAGAGCAGAAUCAGCGGCAUACAUUGUUCCAAACAAAGUAUGUUAUUAAAGAGCAUUCUUGUCGUUUGAUUAUUGAUGGAGGUAGCCACAACAACUUGGCUAGCAGCAACAUGGUGGAGAAGCUUGCACUUACCACCAAACCACAGCCACAUCCAUAUCACAUUCAGUGGCUGAACAACAGUGGUAAGGCCAAGGUAACAAAACUGGUGCGAAUUAGUUUUAAUAUUGGUUCAUACCAUGAUGUUGUUGAAUGUGAUGUUGUACCUAUGGAAGCUUGUAAUAUUCUGCUAGGUAGACCAUGGCAAUUUGAUAAGGAAUGUAUACAUCAUGGUAGAUCAAAUCAGUAUUCGUUUAUGCACCAUGAUAUGAAAAUUGUUUUGCUACCUAUGUCUCCCGAACCUAUCGUACGUGAUGAAGUUGCUAAAAUUACCAAGGCUCAAAUUAAGAACAAUGCAGAUACCAAUGGAAAUAACAAAGAUGAGAUAAGAUUAAAUGGACAUUGCAUGCUUGCUACUAAAUUUGAUGUUAAUGAACUAAUUGUUUCCACAUCUACUGCUUAUGCUUUGGUAUGUAAGGGUGUUUUGAUUUCAAUUGAAGAUAUGCUGCAUUCUUUGCCCCCUGCUGUUCAUAACAUUUUGCAGGAGUAUGCUGAUGUUUUUCCAAGUGAGAUACCGGCAGGGCUGCCACCUAUACGUGGGAUUGAGCACCAAAUUGAUCUUAUUCCUGGUGCAUCUUUGCCAAACCGCGCGCCAUACAGGACAAAUCCAGAGGAAACAAAAGAGAUCCAGCGGCAAGUGCAAGAACUCCUCGACAAAGGUUAUGGAAUUGAGGUUGAUCAAGCCAAGGUAGAAGCUAUACAGGGAUGGCCUGUACCAAAGACAAUCACCCAGGUGCGGAGUUUCUUAGGACUUGCUGGGUUUUAUCGCCGUUUUGUGAAGGAUUUCAGCACCAUUGCUGCACCAUUGAAUGAGCUUACAAAGAAGGGAGUGCCUUUUAUUUGGAGCAAAGUACAAGAGAAUUCCUUCAACAUGUUGAAAGAUAAGUUAACACAUGCACCUCUCCUACAGCUUCCUUAUUUUAAUAAGACUUUUGAGCUUGAGUGUGAUGCUAGUGGGAUUGGUUUGGGAGGUGUUUUGCUACAAGAGGGUAAACCUGUUGCAUAUUUUAGUGAGAAAUUGAGUAGGCCUGUUCUGAACUAUUCAACUUAUGAUAAAGAAUUGUAUGCUCUUGUCCGAACUUUAGAAACAUGGCCAUUAUUUGUGGCCCAAAGAGUUUGUUAUUCAUUCUGAUCAUGAAUCUUUAAAACAUAUUCGUAGUCAAGGAAAACUAAAUCGCAGACAUGCUAAGUGGGUAGAAUUUAUUGAAUUCUUUCCUUAUGUUAUUAAGCACAAGAAAGGGAAGGAGAAUAUCAUUGCUGAUGCUUUGUCAAGGAGAUAUACUUUGCUAAAUCAACUUGAUUACAAGAUUUUUGGAUUAGAAACGAUCAAAGACCAAUAUGUUCAUGAUGCUGAUUUUAAUGAAGUGUUGCUGCGUUGUAAAGAUGGAAAAGGAUGGAACAAAUUCAUCGUUAGUGAUGGGUUUGUGUUUAGAGAUAACAAGCUAUGCAUUCCAGCUAGCUCUGUUCGUUUGUUGUUGUUACAGGAAGCUCAUGGAGGAGGUUUGAUGGGACAUUUUGGAGCAAAGAAGACGGAGGACAUACUUGCUGGUCAUUUCUUUUGGCCAAGGAUGAGGAGAGAUGUGGAGAGAUUUGUUGCUCGCUGCACAACAUGUCAAAAGGCUAAGUCACGCUUAAAUCCACAUGGUUUGUAUAUGCCUCUACCUGUUCCUAGCAUUCCUUGGGAAGAUAUUUCUAUGGAUUUUGUGUUGGGAUUGCCUAAGACUAGGAAGGGCCGUGAUAGUGUUUUUGUUGUUGUGGAUAGAUUUUCUAAGAUGGCACACUUUAUACCGUGUCAUAAGACCGAUGAUGCUACACAUAUUGCUGAUUUAUUCUUUCGGGAAGUUGUUCGUUUGCAUGGUGUGCCAAAUACAAUUGUUUCUGAUCGAGAUGCUAAAUUUCUUAGCCAUUUUUGGAGAACUUUAUGGGGAAAAUUGGGGACAAAGCUUUUAUUUUCUACCACUUGUCAUCCCCAAACUGAUGGUCAAACUGAAGUUGUGAAUAGAACCUUGUCUACUAUGUUAAGUGCUAUUCUAAAGAAGAAUAUUAAAAUGUGCGAAGAUUGUUUGCCCCAUAUUGAGUUUGCUUAUAAUCGUUCUUUGCACUCUACUACAAAGAUGUGUCCAUUUGAGGUUGUUUAUGGCCUGCUACCACGUGCGCCUAUUGAUUUAAUGCCUUUGCCAACCUCUGAAAAAUUGAAUUUUGAUGCUGAACAACGUGCUAAGUUGAUGUUGAAAUUGCAUGAAACAACUAAAGAAAACAUAGAGCGCAUGAAUGCUAAGUAUAAGGUUGCUGGUGAUAAGGGUAGAACACAAUUGAAUUUUGAACAUGGAGAUUUGGUUUGGUUGCAUUUGAGAAAGGAUAGGUUUCCUACGUUGAGAAAAUCUAAAUUGAUGCCUAGAGCUGUUGGACCAUUUAAAGUGCUACAACGAAUUAAUGAGAAUGCAUAUAAGCUUGAUCUUCCUGCAGAUUUUGGGGUUAGUCCCACAUUUAACAUUGCAGAUUUGAAACCAUAUUUGGGUGAGGAACAUGAGCUUGAGUCGAGGACAACUCAAAUGCAAGAAAGGGAGGAUGAUGAGGACAUCAACACCAUCGAUAUAUCCGCACCUACACCAGUUGGUUCUCUUACUCGUGCUCGUGCCCGUCAACUCAACCUUCAAGUAAGUUCAGUUUUAAACUCUUGUCAAUCAUAUUUAGACAAUGGAGACACGUGCACUUUCGUGUUGCUCAGGAAUAAUGGACAAGAUCAGCAAGGGAAGGUUCAACUGCAUUCGGAAUUUGAGGCAACACCAACUUCAAGGGCUGAUUGCAUAUGGGAAGAGUGAUAACUUAACAAAGGUGAUUGGAGAUCAGGUCCAAGCCUCCACAACAUCCUCUAUCAAGUUACCACGUCGCUUCUAAAGCAAGGAAACAAAGAGUCCAAACCCAACACGUUUUGGGAGUUGGAUUCGGACUGGAAAAUAAGUCUAACUUGUAUGGAUCACCACGGCGUCAUAUGGACUCCAACUGGGACGUUCCUAUACUUGUUGGAAAGCUCAUGAAGUCUACUUUCCAAUGGGUCCAACCACAUAUCUAUGCAGCUUAUGAGUCGGGCGCAGUCCUUGUUUUCGUGCCGACACCUUUUUCUGUUUUGGUGCUGCGUCACCCUAUUUUGGACCAAUGGCCCAUGUAUCAAGUUGAGUCCAUUAGGGACGCGUCCUAGGGUUGGAGGACGACUCUAGCACCCCUUUGGUCGUCCUCCCCUCUAUUUAUUUACAUCUAGAGCCGCCAUGAACAACUGGGUUUUGAUUAGAUAAAGUUUAGCCUUCGCUACUUGCUUGUAAACGCGCGUGCUGAUCCAGCCGCCCGUCUUCUUGUUUUUGAAACCCCACUUCAUUAGAGAUUGAGUUUGAAACCUUCAUUUACAUCUAGUAUUUUAGUACUUGUUCUACUUGUUCUUGCUGGUUCUUCGAUUGCUUGCAGGACGAGUGCCCUAGUGGCCGGGUGUUGAAGCUCCACAAGAUCGUGACAGCCAUUGGAGGCGGUGUAUCGGUUGCUAAGGCGCGGCCUUAGAAGGCUGUAGUCGGGCCGUGAACAUCAUCUCCAUUCACUAAUCGAGUUAUCUAGUGCCUCUCAUCGAAAGAUCAGGCGAAAACCCUAGUGGGUUCACAUCAGUUGGUAAUCAGAGCAAGGUUUAUCGGUGAGAGAUUUCCAAUUCUUCGUGUUUGUUUUUCCUGUAGUCCAAAAAAAGCCAAAAAAUAUAGCAGAUUUGUUUUCCAUAAUCCUAUAAAUCCUUUGUGCCAUGGCUAGUACUACAUAGUUAGGGCUGGUUGAAUGAGUGUUUGCUUCGGUCGUGUCCAGUGCUGGUUUUAGUUUAGUCCUUUAGAGUUUUGAGUUCUUGUCACCAUCUAGUCACAACUGCGUCCAAUCUAUUGUGGGUUGGAAUUUGAGUAGAUCUUGAUAAUAGGUGCAGCCACUUGUUGGUCUAUUCUGCGUUUCCAUCAACGUGAUCCAAAAGGAAAGAUAGCACUUCAUACUUGUGCUAGAUAUAUUGAAUUUUGAGGUGCUCUAGUGAGAGGGUGAGAGUGGUGAAGUGAUAUUUUGUACUAUUUUGUUUAUAUAAUCAGGUUUUGAGGUUCCCCAAAAAAAGAAAAGAGAAAGAAAAAAAAAUAAAGAAAAAAAAAGAAAGAAAGAAAGAAAAAAGAAAAAAAAUCAAAAAAGGGGAUUGUUGUUCCUUUUGUUUCCAGUAGGGCUGCUCAUUUUGUUUCUAGUGGUGUGCUGUGUUUUUCCUUUGUGUCCAGGCUCGCGUCUCUAGCACGGUCUAGGCUAGGACCAGCACAGUACCACCGUUGAGCGUUUAUUCAGCUCGCUUUUAUAACUAACGUGGUGCUAGUUCGUUCCUUGUUUUAGCC